CAGGAAUGGAGGUAGUACAACACAUACACAGAACCAGCCAAAGAGACCAAUUUUUGAUGAAAUUAAGGUCUGAUUUUGAAUUUGUUCGUGCCUCUCUAGUAAAUAGAGAUCCUGUUCCAACUUUGGAGGCAUGUUUUGGAGAACUCUUGCGUGAGGAACAACGUCUCAAUACUCAAAAUAUUAUGAAGCAGGCACGUGCUUCUUCUAAUCCUAUCUCAGUUGCCUAUGUUACUCAUAGUAAGGGAAAGGGACGUGAUAUGAGCACCACACAGUGCUAUAGUUGUAAGAAGUAUGGCCAUAUUGCUCCUCACUGCCCUCAGAAAGUGUGUAACUACUGCAAGCAAUCGGGGCACAUUAUUAAAAAGUGUCUUGUUCGUACUUCGCGUUCCAAUAAGGCUUAUCAUGUUGCUGUUACUUCUGCUGGUUCACAACCAGCCUUUACUAUUGUGGAUGCUGCAACAUCUGCUAUUAGUUUACAGCCUCCAGAACCUGUUAUAACUCGAGAGGCGGUGCAUGAAAUGAUUGUGAGUGCUUUUUCAGCAUUUGGUCUUCAAGGUAAUGGUUCUUCCUCUACUUCUUGGAUCUUAGACUCGAGCGCCUCAAAUCACAUAACUAAUACUCUCCAUAGAUUAAGUAAUAUCAGAAAGUAUGUUGGCUCAUCACAUAUUCAAACAGCCAAUGGUAGUGCUCUACCCAUUGAGGCAGUUGGUGAUGUAUCAUCUAACUUUAAUAAUGUUCUGGUGUCACCAAAUCUCUCUGUGAAUUUGAUAUCUGUCGGCCAGCUUGUGGACCAAAACUAUAAUGUACAUUUUACUAAUGAUGGUUGUAUUGUACAGGAUCACAUGUCAGGGCACGUGAUAGCGAAGGGGCCUAAGCAAGGACGUCUCUUUUCUCUGCAAUUACUUGUUCCACGUAGCUUAUCUUCCUCAGUCCUAUCUUUACUUUGUAAUGAGUCUAAAGUGUCGAAUGAAGUCUAGCAUAAGCAUCUUGGCCAUCCUAAUUCUAGGAUUCUAUCUUAUUUAUUGAAAUCUGGUCUGUUAUUUAAUAAAGAGCAUUCUUCUUCCACUAUUUUUCCUGUGUGUACAACUUGUAAACUGGGUAAAAGUAAAAUUUUACCUUUUCCUUAUGAAGGAAGUAGAGCAACUUACGCAUUUGAAAUAAUUCAUAAUGAUGUUUGGGGUAUUAGUCCUAUCAUUUCUCAUGGUUAAUACAAAUAUUUUGUGAUGUUUAUCGAUGACUACAGUAGAUAUACGUGGGUUUACUUCUUGCAGCACAAAUCAGAAGUUUGUUCUAUGUUCAAACUAUUCUUAGCU
rnacentral:lncRNA from 1 species